CAGCCGCACGGUAAUACAGAGGGUGCGAGCGUUAAUCUGAUUUACUGGGCGUAAAGCGUGCGUAGGCGGCUUUUUAAGUCGGAUGUGAAAUCCCUGAGCUUAACUUAGGAAUUGCAUUCGAUACUGGGAAGCUAGAGUAUGGGAGAGGAUGGUAGAAUUCCAGGUGUAGCGGUGAAAUGCGUAGAUAUCUGGAGGAAUACCGAUGGCGAAGGCAGCCAUCUGGCCUAAUACUGACGCUGAGGUACGAAAGCAUGGUGAGCAAACAGGAUUAGAUACCCCGGUAGUCCCUGUCUCUUAUACA
rnacentral:rRNA from 1 species